rnacentral:misc_RNA from 1 species
CAUUUCUUAUUUUUAAUACGCUCUUAAAUCGCAUCCCCGCUUCUACUUGGACACACAGUUAUUUUUUGUUUAUUAGUUGGAAUACAUUCUCUAGAGGUAAAACUGCUCAUGCAACUUUUUUCAUCAUUUUGUUGAAUAUAUCUUUGAGUACAAGUUAAAUAAACAGCCGGAAAUAUGGCGGAUCUUUGUCCAGGACUUCUAUGGGCUGUAAUUUGGUUUUUUGGUUUAAUUUUUGUGGGCUGGCCAAUUGGAUUUUUACUAGCCUGGUUGUACGUAUGUUUGUUACCUUUCGGAGCUUGCAUUGAAGCUAUGAAAGGAGCAGCGGAGGCUGUUCUUGGUAUUGUUCAGUUACCUCUAACUUUUGCUGACAACAUGGUGAACAUGAAGCCCUGUGGAAAGUAAAUCGAUCUGGUUACCAGAGGCUUUAAAAAAAUACUAAAAAAAACCUUGUAUUCAAACAAAUCACUGUAUUCAAACAAAACAAAAAUGUACAAUUGUUUUGAAGAAGUUUUUUGUAAGUUCAAGUUUUAUUAUUUUAUUAAUAUAAAUAUCAUUAAGUGGUCAUGGGAGAUUUCAUCCGAAACCAUCUCUCAACCGAGAUUAAUCAUUCAGUCGAAAUAUCUAAGAAAUAAUAGUCGAUAUAAUUUUUUUCUUUAAUCGUAAUUAUUUUGGGUGAUUUGGGACGAAAUCUUCAGAUACCAUUGCUACAUAUCGCAAAAAACGUACUAAAAAAAAGUCAAUUACUAUGAUAAGACCGAAUUUGAAUUAUUAUUUAAAUAAUAAAUAGAAAAUAUAUUAAUCCAAUUCUGGUCUAGUUAAUGUUGACUUUUUACAAUAAUUAAUUAAUUCAAUAUAAUAUUGAAUACUCUUUUUAUUGAUAUGAUUUAAAUAAGGCUUAGACAAUAGUCAAAUCAAUCAUUAGUAAUCGUGCUAUUGUUAUUUUUAUAAAAAUAAUGGAUUAAACAAUGAUGUUGACAAUAUGUUUUAUUUGAUAACGUGAUUGAACCUAA